AAUAGACUAACGGGCUUCGAUCCCGUAAAACCUUAGUUAACAACUAAACAUCCAAGCCAGCGGACCUUAGCCUA
rnacentral:tRNA from 1 species